rnacentral:sRNA from 1 species
GAUUCCUGAGUGCUGAGCCCGAACCCGAGGAGAUGAAGUAAGGCGUCAGCUUCCUUUUGAGGAAGGAGCAGCGGGCCACUGGGGGUGGUCCACCGGGGCUGGUGUGGUAGAGCGUCUGCGGGGCCGAGGGGCGGGAGCGGCGCGGGGACUGGAACAGCUCGUCCCCUAGUUUUGCUCUUCCUCAGCUCCGGCCGGUUCGCACUUACUUGUCUGCUUUUCUGCCUACCCUCCCCACCCCCCCCCCGCCACCGUGAAGCCCUUUAACUAAGGUGAAGCUGAUCAACGAGCUGAAUGAACGAGAGGUCCAGCUUGGGGUGGCCGAUAAGGUGUCCUGGCACUCCGAGUACAAGGACAGCGCCUGGAUCUUCCUGGGAGGACUUCCUUAUGAACUGACUGAAGGGGACAUCAUCUGUGUGUUCUCACAAUAUGGGGAGAUUGUUAACAUUAAUCUCGUGCGGGACAAGAAAACUGGGAAAUCCAAAGGAUUCUGUUUCCUCUGCUAUGAAGACCAGAGGAGCACAAUUCUGGCCGUCGACAAUUUUAAUGGGAUCAAGAUCAAAGGAAGAACUAUCCGAGUGGAUCAUGUGUCUAACUAUCGGGCUCCUAAGGACUCAGAAGAAAUGGAUGAUGUGACCAGACAGCUCCAGGAGAAGGGCUGUGGGGCUCGUACCCCCUCACCAAGUUUGUCUGAGAGCUCUGAAGAUGAAAAACCAACAAAAAAGCACAAAAAA